AUCUUUCUUUUAAUCAUGAUACUACCAUGUCAGAGUAAAUACUUUUCUACCUCAGCCUCUGAUGGUGUACACCGGCCUGUUGUGAAGCCAGUUAUGAGUCUGUUUUGUUUUUCUUUCCUAACUGUACAGCUAACUUCUGUGAAGGGAAAACUGUGAAUGGUUCCACUUUCUCAAGAACUGUGAUCGGCUGGUCUGCUUACUCCACUGAGAAAUGUGGAUCUGAGACCAAUAAUGCUGACAUUUCAGAAGCUUCUGCCAGAUGUGUAAAAAAUGAAACAGGAACUCCUCAGUUCGGUCAGGUGCAGAAGACGGACUGUGGAUUAACCCUCAACGACCUCCUGAGUAACAUUACUGGCCCUAUCAAUGAGGAGACGAGGAAGACUUUGGCGAGAAGCACACAGAUGCUGACUUCCAGUCCAGAAAAACUGACAUCCUCGAACAUCACCUCUGUUGCACAGAUUAUCAACGCUGUCCUAAAUAGCAGUACCACGAUCACUGAGGAAACAGCCAUACCUAUGGCAACAUCAAUCAGUCAACUACUGACCGCCAACCCACAACUGUUCUCCAUGGAUGGCACCAUAGAUAGCCUUACCAAGACAACAGAAGGAUUUUCACAGAAGCUGAGUGCUGAGGUGUCAUCAGUGGUUCAGCCUAAACUUGUGGUCCAGGCAACACAUCCAAUCAGCCAAUCAGAAGGGGUCCGGUUCAGGGCUCGCUCUGGAACAUCUAGCAACUUCACAUCAAACAUAAUUCAGGUGGACAGCAAUGCUUCAGAAAUGGAUGAGAGUGUAAUCCCUUCUGAAGUUGAUAUUUUCAUUAAAUUACCUCAUGGUAUGUAUGUCUCUCUCUGUUUGUAUGCAUGUUUAUAUGAUUGUAUGUGUGUACAUAUGUGUAUUUAUAGAUGUAUCUAUAUGUGUAUUUAUUUUUUUAACGUACAGGCAUGAAGUGAAAUUGCUGAACUUGAAUGGUAACACAGACCCCCUUCUCUUUCACAGCCUCAGAACGAAAUUCAAACUUAACCGUUGGUUUUGUUCUCUACGACAAUGACGUCCUCUUCCAAUCUAAGUCCUUUAAGUCAAGACUGGGCACCAGCAGGAGGGUGAUCUCAGGCAGCACGACUGGUGUUAAAGCUGAAUACGUGACACUAAGCUUCAGGCCAUUGGUACUGCAGACAGACAUACCAUGCAUUACCUUAUUCAUUAUUAACUAUUAAAUCAUAACUUCAUUCCAAACAAAACAGUUCCCAA